CGCGUAGGCGGGUUAUUAAGUCUGGGGUGAAAGUUUGCGGCUUAACCGUAAAAUUGCCUUAGAUACUGGUAAUCCUGAGUUCGGAAGAGGGAAGUGGAAUUCCUGGUGUAGCGGUGAAAUGCGUAGAUAUCAGGAAGAACACCGGUGGCGAAGGCGGCUUCCUGGUCCGAUACUGACGCUGAUGCGCGAAAGCGUGGGGAGCAAACA
rnacentral:rRNA from 1 species